AGUCUGCAACUCGAGUGCAUGAAGCUGGAAUCGCUAGUAAUCGCGGAUCAGAAUGCCGCGGUGAAUACGUUCCCGGGUCUUGUACACACCGCCCGUCACACCAUGGGAGUCGGGAAUGCCCGAAGCCGGUGGCCCAAUCGAAAGAAGGGAGCCGUCGAAGGCAGGCCGGAUGACUGGGGUGAAGUCGUAACAAGGUACC
rnacentral:rRNA from 1 species